rnacentral:rRNA from 1 species
CUACGGGUCGCUCCAGUGGGGAAUAUUGCACAAUGGGCGCAAGCCUGAUGCAGCCAUGCCGCGUGUAUGAAGAAGGCCUUCGGGUUGUAAAGUACUUUCAGCGGGGAGGAAGGGAGUAAAGUUAAUACCUUUGCUCAUUGACGUUACCCGCAGAAGAAGCACCGGCUAACUCCGUGCCAGCAGCCGCGGUAAUACGGGGGGUGCAAGCGUUAAUCGGAAUUACUGGGCGUAAAGCGCACGCAGGCGGUUUGUUAAGUCAGAUGUGAAAUCCCCGGGCUCAACCUGGGAACUGCAUCUGAUACUGGCAAGCUUGAGUCUCGUAGAGGGGGGUAGAAUUCCAGGUGUAGCGGUGAAAUGCGUAGAGAUCUGGAGGAAUACCGGUGGCGAAGGCGGCCCCCUGGACGAAGACUGACGCUCAGGUGCGAAAGCGUGGGGAGCAAACAGGAUUAGAUACCCCAGUAGUC